rnacentral:sRNA from 1 species
GGCCCAGCUUAGUCUAUGAGCUGAAUGUUGGUUUUAUCCCCUGAAUUAAGUUUGCAAUGGGUUUUCUCUGUGCAACUUUAGAAUACGCCAGCCUUACUUCAGUAAUUCAGCCUCGAAAGUGAUCUAAUCUGUUUUACAAAGAUAGUUACCUACCACAGUGCUUGGCACAAUUUCAAAAAUUGUAAAUUUUCUUCCCCACGUCCUCCCAUUUUAUGGGGUCCAGAUAUUACUAAUGCAUUAAUGAAUGUAAAAGCAGUUCUUCCAAAAUCUGUUUACUCUCCUAGAGCAUACAGUGUGACUGCUUGAAGGUAUCUGUUUUCCUGCAUGCAUAUUCAAGUUAAAUUCACAGUUUCCCUACUUUGAAAAACAGUUUUAUUGGAAAUAAAAUGUCUAGACAGACUUUGAAACUGAAAAACUGCUGCUUUGCCUCAGGUAUUUUUGCUUGAAAACUGAUACUUUCAUGAAUAUUUGAUUUUUUAAAAACUUGGACAAGAUGAUUGCUAUUUCAGUUCGUUUUUACAAAAGUGAUGUAAUUUUAGUUUUGAGAGAAAGUAUAACUUUUUCUAUCAGUGAAAGUUAAUUUUUAUGACUUUUAUCUCUAUUUUUGUAUUGUCGGUUUAAAUCUCUUGUAGAAUUCAAGUGUAGAAUUCCAAAGGUGUUUCCCUCCCCACAUUUUUUGUCCCCUUCUGUUGCUAUAAAGGCCUUACAUAUUCAUUAUUCCAAGAGCAAAUGUGUUGCAGGAAUUUUAGCCAUGCAUGCUAUCAAGUGAUAUGUAAGGGUGGACCCAUGAGUUAAAAUGGACAAAUGCUUUAGGUUAAUAGUGAUAUGUGCUUUUAAAAGAGCUUAAUGAAGAGGGUUUCUAAUCUGUUAAUCUGAAUCCAGACUUUGUUAUGAUUUUGAUAUACGACUCUAGACAUAGAAUUUAGGAGUUCCCUGAGUCUUUAGCUACAAAGUUGUAAUGUAAAAUAAAGGAAAUUUAUGCUAAGGGCUUCCUGUGUGCCAGACAUUUGGCCAGAUCUUUGUUAAGCUAUUUCAUUUCAUUUCAUCUUCAUUUUAUGGAAAAGGAAAACCUGGUUUUGCUGAAACCCACAGCUAGUAAAUUGCAGAGCAAGGAUCUAGAGCUCCAGCUGUCUGACUCCCCACUCAGGCUCUGAACCACUCUUACUACACAGCUCGUGCACUAGCGCAUUCUGCCCUACAAGGCAGUGUGAAGCUACUUACAUAGUAUUUUCAACAGGUUAAUCCACACAGUGACUCCAUGAAGGAAAUAAUACAAGCAUUACCUCCAUUUUACAGGCAAGAAAAUAGAUAUUUAGGAAGAAGAAAUUACUAUCCUAAGGUUUCACAGUUGGCACAUGAUAGAGUCCUCUUUCUUAUUCUUUUGGAGAUCUAAUGAUACCAUAAAUGAAGGGUUUUCCUAUGUGUUAUUUUUAUAGUACAUGGGCAGGGUGUUUUAAAUGUAUUGAAAUGAAUUAGAAAUUUUUAUCAUAUGAUUUAAAAUUGCUGUGUGUGUCAUGUGGUCUUGUGAUGACUCAGAAUUCCUUAAAUGACUUUUCUCUUCCUUCAAACAAAAUCUUAGCAGUACCACUACAAAAUAUCAGUGUGAAACAUCAUAACAUAGGUUAUUCCAGCCAAGACUCUGAGGUGAGGACAGCUUUAAACUGUUCAGGCACAUUAAAAUCAAAUCAGUGGUGGAGAUUCUGGCAGCUAUUCAGGAAAGAUGUCUCUUUAGUACAUUAAAAAAUCUUAUCCCCUAGUGAGGAUGAUCAGGCGUUUGGGCAUAUUCCUUUCUGUGGCCAGAGAACAGAGGAAAGAAUCAGUUUUAUCACAAUGUCAGUGCUGAGCAGCACAUGACUCUUUUUUCAAAAACUAUAUGUUUCUUAAUUUUUCCAGGGAUUUUUAAUUCAUUUAUCAUAAACACCUUCCAACUUUAGGAAACAUAAAAUUUAUUAAGAUAAUUGUAUUUUAAAAUAUUCAGAGGCCUAAACCAUUCAUGACAUUGAUACUUAAAUGGAUAUGAGAAAUUUUAUUGCAAGAAAAAGUAUACUGACCCUCUUAGCUGACUUGUCAUGUUUAGUAUUUUUAUUUUUGCCUGCCUAUCAACAAUAGCUUCUGCAGUAUCAAUUUAAAUGAUACAUCAAGCUGGUAAAUGUGAGCUGGCCUACCAAGUGAAAGCAUAACUAAAUUUAAAUAGCUCUAAUAUAAAAAUAAUGAAUCAGUACAUCAAAGGUUAAGAAUGCAGUUAGCAAAAAUUAAUGUUCAAUAAAGAAGCAUGUGUGACUUUUAAGUUAGAUGGUAUGUCAUUCAAUGACCAGAUAAGGACUAAGUUCAGGUGCAGUUUAUUCAACUGAUGUGUGUGUUUGAAAAAUAAGACGAAAACACAAUGCUUUAUUUGAAUAAACUUUAAUAAAACAAUAUAUAAUGUAUGGACAUAAGGAAACCUAAGUCCUCGGGGAUUAUAGGGGAAACCAAGGCAUGAGGUUACCUAACAAGGAACCUUAGAACAUAAUCUUACCUGGCUCAGUACAAGUAGGAGAGGAUGGUAGCAGGUGAAUGGGCAGUGAACAUGGACCUGAGGAGAAAUGAAUUUGCCUAACUUUCUUGCUAAAUAAAUGUGCUUUUGGAUGCUGACAUCGAGAGAGUGGUGUGUGAAGUACCAUAAAUAUUUGCUUUAUUGUCUGCGCGGUGUGACUGCAUUCUGCUCAUUUGCAGGUGGGCAAUGGGCAUUCCAAUGAGGCAGCCUUGAUCCUCCACAGAAAAGGGUUUGAUUGUCGGUUCUCUAGCAAAGGCACAGGGCUGUUUUGUUCUACUACUCAGGGAAAGAUAUUGGUACAGAAACUUUUAAACAAGUUUAUUGUCGAAAGUCUCACACCUUCAUCACUAUCCUUGAUGCAUUCACCUCCCGGCACUCAGAAUAUAAGUGAGAUCAACUUGAGUCCAAUGGAAAUCAGCACAUUCCGAAUCCAGUUGAGGUGAACCUGACUUUCACAUUUGGAUUGAGAAUCAUUGGCUUUUAUACCUUUCUUGGUUUGACGUGCAAUAAAGAAGCACAUUAUUUUAGCUUCUGGCUACUGUGAGAACAUGAAUUCUGUGAUUCUGUGGGUUUUUUCUUUUUUCUUUUACCAGUACAGUAAGAAAAAAAAAAAAAAAAAGCCAUGCUAUCAAUCAAGAUUCUUUUUUUUUAAACUUCCUCCCAUGAACUACCACCAUCAGUAUGAAUUGAUGCAACAAAUGAAGAAAUAUUUAAAGACAGCCUCUCAACAGAUUGUAUCUCAGGUUAAAUGCUAACUAAUUAUGUCUGUGUUGGGGGUUGCGAAGAGAUUCUUAAAAGUAUCUGUGUGUUGAUCAUCAGUUUUACAAAAACACCUAUUUGGCUGAAAUGGAAUAAAAUGUUUGUGGGUAAAAGCUAAUGGCCAAAAUGGUUGCAAUCAUUCAUACUAGUUAGAAAAAUUAUGUGUUGAAAUAAGUGGAAAAGUGCAAUCCAUCCACCCUUAUGAUUAACGUAGAUGAUUUUUAUACCUUUUUCUGAUGUACCUCUUGACCUUCUCCUUCCCUUCCUACCCUUUCUAAGUAUUUCCAGAAAUACCUGAUUUUGAAUCAUUCAACAGUAGAAAAAGAGGCAUAUUUUCAUUACUUGACAAUGUGGGAUGGGUGCAAUUUAUUCCAUCUUCACUAAAAGAGAAGCAAUUCCAUAGGUACCAUAAACCUAUUUUAGGUACCACAAGGUGUCUUUUUACACAGCUCAUUUGAAUACAGGUGUUCUGAGAAGGGGUUUCUAUUUUAAAAUUACCAUAUCAAAAUAAAUGUGCCUUAUUUUUUUAUAAGUCUUGUUAAAUCAGUGUCCAUAUUACUGUCUGGGGAAGGGGGAAUGUUGUGGGGUCUGGGAGAGGGUGGGUACUUUCUAUGACACAUAAAUUGUGUAAUUUUUGCCUGACAAUGCUGGCCACAUUCUGCUCUGUUUCAUUAAAUUUGUGGUGAUGUUACUCUAAACAUUUUGACUAUUUGAAUGUACUGAGAUGUCAGAAAACAAAACAAGGAAGGAAAAUAUUGUUAAUUAAAAUAUGCUGCUGCCAAGGAAACUGCAACUUGAAGCAAGGAUUUUGUAAAAUGCAAAAUCCAGCUACUGUUUCCAUUUCACAGUAGUUAACUAUAUUAAAGAGAGAAUGCUUUAAAAUUGAUCUUGUUUUGAAACCCACUUUUAUGUAGCUCAUCAUGGUUUAUCUUACUAAGGAAUAUGUUUGUUCAUUCAAUUCUCAACUUUUGUAUGUGCUAACCUUAAAGUGAAGUUCUGAGCCCAUGUGCCAUUACAGUGCUUUUAAUAAAAUUUAUUUGGGAUUAUUGUUUCCUUAACAUUAAAAUAAUAGCGACAUUUAGACUAUUCAAUUUUAGCAUAGAAGGGAGUCUUUGAGUAUGUACAGUUUUGAAAAUUCUCUUUGAGAUAAUUGAUUUCGUUUUCUGUGGCUUUCAACCUCCAUUUACCUCUUGUCAUUCCAACAUCUUUAUAGAGAAAUAAAAACCCAAUUUCUCUUUUACCAUUUAGUUUGAUUAUCAUCUGGAUUUUCACUCAAGAUGCAGCUCCUAAGAUUAUUGUUAUGUUAAAUUCAUAAACUCUUUCACCUUUAAUAAUUAAGGAAACAAUACCAGUGUUGAUAAAGAUAUUACAAGGGGUAAUUUCAUGCAAUAAACAUGUACUGUAAGUUUUCUUCCACAUUUUUUGGGAAAAAAACUAAAAAAAGAAAAAGGACUUCCUUUUUGUGGACAUCUACAGAUGUUAGGGUUGCCAGAAGCAAAUCCCAGGAAUGAGAUCAGUAUUUUCAUUGCAUCUUAAAUGUAUAACCUUCCUGUGGGAGUUCAGUGUGUCUGUGGUUAAGUGGGUGUGCUUAAUCAUUCUCGAAAUUCUGAUCAGAUGAAAUAAAAAAAAAAUCUUGAUGCAAUAACAGUGGUUUUGCCACUUCUGGUUGUUUGCGAUGGAUCUGUCCCAUGUCAGUCUGGGGUUUUAUUCAGCUUGUGUUGCUACCAGCAGUUCACAGGUAAAGCAGAAAUUCUCUUUAACCAGCAAGUUUCUGCUUUUUAAGGUUACUUUUAGAAUAAAUCAUCAGGGAAAUAGAGAGGAUGCUUUUGCUUUGGGUUGUAGUCAAAAACUGAUUAAAUAAUUUAAUGUUUCUGGCACACACUAAAAACCAUACACUUCAGUUGUGAUCUCAGUGGCAUAUUUAUUUGGUUAGGUUUCGUUACAUUUAUUAUUACAGAUGUUCAGUUGACCAAGUAGUUCAGUGUUUUCUUUCCUUUUUUUGGAAAUUUUAGUUUGAGUUUGUGACUGCAGUGUUCAAGAACUCAGCAUCCUUGUUUUCUACAAAUACUGAUUAAAAUAAAAUGCUGUAAAAUGUGAUGUAAAACAUUAUCAUGAUCUUCCCAUGCCUUUGUUGUACUUGUGCCGAAGUGUUUUGAUAUUCCUUUGUCUGGAAGAAAAUGUUUGCUUUCAUUUUGAUCAUUUUGUUCACCUUGGAAUCAACAGGUUUUGAUAUUUUCUCUUGGAAGAUUUUAUAUCUUUUUGGGAAUAUGUAAUAUAAGAUCUCUAAUAAAAGAUAAUCUUAUCAUGUA